rnacentral:rRNA from 1 species
UGGGGAAUUGUUCGCAAUGGGCGCAAGCCUGACGACGCAACGCCGCGUGGAGGAUGAAGGUCUUCGGAUUGUAAACUCCUGUUGAUCGGGACGAACAACCAUCGGGAUAACACCCCGGAGGUCUGACGGUACCGAUUGAGGAAGCCCCGGCUAACUCUGUGCCAGCAGCCGCGGUAAUACAGAGGGGGCAAGCGUUGUUCGGAAUUACUGGGCGUAAAGGGCGAGUAGGCGGCCGCCUAAGUCAGACGUGAAAUCCCUCGGCUCAACCGGGGAACUGCGUCUGAUACUGGGUGGCUUGAAUCCGGGAGAGGGAUGCGGAAUUCCAGGUGUAGCGGUGAAAUGCGUAGAUAUCUGGAGGAACACCGGUGGCGAAGGCGGCAUCCUGGACCGGCAUUGACGCUGAGUUCGCGAAAGCCAGGGGAGCAAACGG